rnacentral:rRNA from 1 species
GACGAACGCUGGCGGCGUGCCUAAUACAUGCAAGUAGAACGCUGAAGGAGGAGCUUGCUUCUCCGGAUGAGUUGCGAACGGGUGAGUAACGCGUAGGUAACCUGCCUGGUAGCGGGGGAUAACUAUUGGAAACGAUAGCUAAUACCGCAUAACAGUAGAUGUUGCAUGACAUUUGCUUAAAAGGUGCAAUUGCAUCACUACCAGAUGGACCUGCGUUGUAUUAGCUAGUUGGUGAGGUAACGGCUCACCAAGGCGACGAAACAUAGCCGACCUGAGAGGGUGAUCGGCCACACUGGGACUGAGACACGGCCCAGACUCCUACGGGAGGCAGCAGUAGGGAAUCUUCGGCAAUGGACGGAAGUCUGACCGAGCAACGCCGCGUGAGUGAAGAAGGUUUUCGGAUCGUAAGGCUCUGUUGUAAGAGAAGAACGAGUGUGAGAGUGGAAAGUUCACACUGUGACGGUAUCUUACCAGAAAGGGACGGCUAACUACGUG